rnacentral:rRNA from 1 species
UCCUUCGGGGUGAGUGGCAGACGGGUGAGUAACGCGUGGGAACGUGCCCUUCAGUUCGGAAUAACCCAGGGAAACUUGGGCUAAUACCGGAUACGUGCGAGAGCAGAAAGAUUUAUCGCUGAAGGAUCGGCCCGCGUCUGAUUAGCUAGUUGGUGAGGUAAUGGCUCACCAAGGCGACGAUCAGUAGCUGGUCUGAGAGGAUGAUCAGCCACAUUGGGACUGAGACACGGCCCAAACUCCUACGGGAGGCAGCAGUGGGGAAUAUUGGACAAUGGGCGCAAGCCUGAUCCAGCCAUGCCGCGUGAGUGAUGAAGGCCUUAGGGUUGUAAAGCUCUUUCGGCGGGGACGAUAAUGACGGUACCCGCAGAAGAAGCCCCGGCUAACUUCGUGCCAGCAGCCGCGGUAAUACGAAGGGGGCUAGCGUUGUUCGGAAUCACUGGGCGUAAAGGGCGCGUAGGCGGCUUUAUAAGUCGG